CCUACGGUGUGCAGCAGUGGGGAAUAUUGCACAAUGGGGGAAACCCUGAUGCAGCGACGCCGCGUGCGUGCAGAAGUAAUUCGUUAUGUACAGCUCUAUCAGCAGGGACGAAAAUGACUGUACCUGAGUAAGAAGCCCCGGCUAACUACGUGCCAUCAGCCGCGGUAAUACGUAGGGGGCAAGCGUUCUCAGGAUUUACUGGUUGUACAGGGAGCGUAGACGGCAGUGCAAGUCUGGAGGGAAAGGCGGGGGCUCAACCCCCGGACUGCUCUGGAAACUUUACGGCUGGAGUGCAGGAGAGGUAAGUGGAAUGCCUAGGGUAGCGGGGAAAUGCGUAGAUAGUAGGAGGAACACCAGUGGCGAAGGCGACUUUCUGGACUGUACCUGACGCUGAGGCGCGAAAGCGUGGGUAGCGAACGGGAUUAGAUACCCGAGUAGUC
rnacentral:rRNA from 1 species